UACGUAGGGUGCAAGCGUUGUCCGGAAUUAUUGGGCGUAAAGAGCUCGUAGGCGGUCUGUCGCGUCGAAUGUGAAAACCCGGGGCUCAACCCCGGGCCUGCAUUCGAUACGGGCAGACUAGAGUUCGGUAGGGGAGUCUGGAAUUCCUGGUGUAGCGGUGAAAUGCGCAGAUAUCAGGAGGAACACCGGUGGCGAAGGCGGAUCUCUGGGCCUUACCUGACGCUCAGGUGCGAAAGCGUGGGGAGCAAACAGG
rnacentral:rRNA from 1 species